UUUGACACCAUUCUGAGCUACAUAGUGAGUUCAAGACCAGCCUAGAAAACAUCGAUAUCCCCAGUCUCAGAUUACAUCUGGAAAUUCCCAGGGGGAUGAGUAGAUCUUUGGAAGAGAAAAAGAGAUUAUAUGUUAUGGGAAAAGAUACAAUAACCAUUCUCUUCCCAUAAAGCAAGUGAUGGAAGAUUGUCUCUGCUCCAUAGAUAUACACCGCACAUUUUCAGGAUAAUACUAACAGGAAAUCAAUAGGAUCUUUUAUAUGUGAAAAGACAUUAUCUCUCUGGACUCCCAGCCCAGCUAAUCGGAGCGACAGAGGAUCUUCACAAAAACUUGCCAUUCACCAUUAAUCUUGGCCCCGGGACGACAAACAUGUGCUCGCAGUCCCCGGGAAGGGCUGUCUGCUAUAAGCUCAGCAUGAAAGCAGUGGGUAGAAGGAAGCGGGAAGUCAACACCGCUUGAGUUUCCUGAGGCUGCUGUAACAAAUAAUCACAAAGCAGCCUGAAUGGACUAAGACAGAGAUCUGGCCAAACUGCAGAGUUAUCUGCUUCCUGAGACGCGGACAGAGGACUGCCCUGCCCCUUCCGGGAAGGCCUCGGGCUGCAGUGCUUGGCUCCCUGGAGUCCUGGGCUCUCAGACCUGAACUCCACUCCAUUGAUGGAGGAAAACAUCUACCAGCGUCUCCUCGGCCACCAUCCUCUGUUUCCGGCCCCCUUCUCUCCCCAGUUUUACCACACAUCAAACAUCCCAUGUGCUUGGGGCGUGUAUUGUAUGCCAGGCACGUGAUGCUGUUGGAAGCACGAACAAAAUGUUUCAAGCACUUGCUUCAAGGGGCUUCCGGUCUAAGAGAGGAAAUAAAUCUCUGCA